rnacentral:rRNA from 1 species
GAUGAACGCUGGCGGCGUGCUUAACACAUGCAAGUCGAACGGAAAGGCCAGUGCUUGCACUGGUACUCGAGUGGCGAACGGGUGAGUAACACGUGGGUGAUCUGCCCUGCACUUCGGGAUAAGCCUGGGAAACUGGGUCUAAUACCGGAUAGGACAAUGGUUUGGAUGCCGUUGUGGAAAGUUUUUUCGGUGUGGGAUGAGCUCGCGGCCUAUCAGCUUGUUGGUGGGGUAAUGGCCUACCAAGGCGUCGACGGGUAGCCGGCCUGAGAGGGUGUACGGCCACAUUGGGACUGAGAUACGGCCCAGACUCCUACGGGAGGCAGCAGUGGGGAAUAUUGCACAAUGGGCGCAAGCCUGAGGCAGCGACGCCGCGUGGGGGAUGACGGCCUUCGGGUUGUAAACUCCUGUCGCUAGUGACGAAGCGUAUUUGUGACGGUACCUGGAGAAGAAGCACCGGCUAACUACGUG